CCACUGCAGGGGGAGAUACCAUGACCAUGAAGUGGUUUUCCCAGGGUGAGGCUCACCCAUUGCUUUUGGGGUGUGCUGAUCCCUGUGAUUUCCCCAAAUGCAAGGAAACUCGACUGCAUAAUUUGUGGCAGUAGGGGAGCUGCGUCCAAGUGCUCCCCUG
ensembl:snRNA Rnu1-80 RNA, U1 small nuclear 80